AACGAACGCUGGCGGCAGGCCUAACACAUGCAAGUCGAGCGCACCCUUCGGGGCGAGCGGCGGACGGGUUAGUAACGCGUGGGAACGUACCCUUUUCUAUGGAAUAGCCUCGGGAAACUGAGAGUAAUACCAUAUAAGCCCUUCGGGGAAAGAUUUAUCGGGAAAGGAUCGGCCCGCGUUAGAUUAGAUAGUUGGUGGGGUAAUGGCCUACCAAGUCUACGAUCUAUAGCUGGUUUUAGAGGAUGAUCAGCAACACUGGGACUGAGACACGGCCCAGACUCCUACGGGAGGCAGCAGUGGGGAAUCUUAGACAAUGGGCGCAAGCCUGAUCUAGCCAUGCCGCGUGUGUGAUGAAAGGUCUUAGGAUCGUAAAGCACUUUCGCCAGGGAUGAUAAUGACAGUACCUGGUAAAGAAACCCGGCUAACUCCGUGCCAGCAGCCGCGGUAAAGU
rnacentral:rRNA from 1 species